GAUGAACGCUGGCGGCGUGCCUAAUACAUGCAAGUCGAGCGAACGGACGAGAAGCUUGCUUCUCUGAUGUUAGCGGCGGACGGGUGAGUAACACGUGGAUAACCUACCUAUAAGACUGGGAUAACUUCGGGAAACCGGAGCUAAUACCGGAUAAUAUUUUGAACCGCAUGGUUCAAAAGUGAAAGACGGUCUUGCUGUCACUUAUAGAUGGAUCCGCGCUGCAUUAGCUAGUUGGUAAGGUAACGGCUUACCAAGGCAACGAUGCAUAGCCGACCUGAGAGGGUGAUCGGCCACACUGGAACUGAGACACGGUCCAGACUCCUACGGGAGGCAGCAGUAGGGAAUCUUCCGCAAUGGGCGAAAGCCUGACGGAGCAACGCCGCGUGAGUGAUGAAGGUCUUCGGAUCGUAAAACUCUGUUAUUAGGGAAGAACAUAUGUGUAAGUAACUGUGCACAUCUUGACGGUACCUAAUCAGAAAGCCACGGCUAACUACGUGCCAGCAGCCGCGGUAAUACGUAGGUGGCAAGCGUUAUCCGGAAUUAUUGGGCGUAAAGCGCGCGUAGGCGGUUUUUUAAGUCUGAUGUGAAAGCCCACGGCUACACCGUGGAGGGUCAUUGGAAACUGGAAAACUUGAGUGCAGAAUUAGGAAAGUGGAGUCCCAUGUGUAGCGGUGAAAUGCGCAGAGAUAUGGAGGAACACCAGUGGCGAAGGCGACUUUCUGGUCUGUAACUGACGCUGAUGUGCGAAAGCGUGGGGAUCAAACAGGAUUAGAUACCCUGGUAGUCCACGCCGUAAACGAUGAGUGCUAAGUGUUAGGGGGUUUCCGCCCCUUAGUGCUGCAGCUAACGCAUUAAGCACUCCGCCUGGGGAGUACGACCGCAAGGUUGAAACUCAAAGGAAUUGACGGGGACCCGCACAAGCGGUGGAGCAUGUGGUUUAAUUCGAAGCAACGCGAAGAACCUUACCAAAUCUUGACAUCCUUUGACAACUCUAGAGAUAGAGCCUUCCCCUUCGGGGGACAAAGUGACAGGUGGUGCAUGGUUGUCGUCAGCUCGUGUCGUGAGAUGUUGGGUUAAGUCCCGCAACGAGCGCAACCCUUAAGCUUAGUUGCCAUCAUUAAGUUGGGCACUCUAAGUUGACUGCCGGUGACAAACCGGAGGAAGGUGGGGAUGACGUCAAAUCAUCAUGCCCCUUAUGAUUUGGGCUACACACGUGCUACAAUGGACAAUACAAAGGGCAGCGAAACCGCGAGGUCAAGCAAAUCCCAUAAAGUUGUUCUCAGUUCGGAUUGUAGUCUGCAACUCGACUACAUGAAGCUGGAAUCGCUAGUAAUCGUAGAUCAGCAUGCUACGGUGAAUACGUUCCCGGGUCU
rnacentral:rRNA from 1 species